CCACUGGAAACGGUGGCUAAUACCGGAUAAGCCUUUGGGUAAAAGAUUUAUUGCCCCAAGAGGAGCUCGCGUCUGAUUAGCUAGUUGGUGAGGUAAAAGCUCACCAAGGCAGCGAUCAGUAGCUGGUCUGAGAGGACGAUCAGCCACACUGGGACUGAGACACGGCCCAGACUCCUACGGGAGGCAGCAGUGGGGAAUUUUCCGCAAUGGGCGAAAGCCUGACGGAGCAAGACCGCGUGAGGGAGGAAGGCUCUUGGGUUGUAAACCUCUUUUCUCAGGGAAGAAGCUCUGACGGUACCUGAGGAAUCAGCCUCGGCUAACUCCGUGCCAGCAGCCGCGGUAAUACGGAGGAGGCAAGCGUUAUCCGGAAUUAUUGGGCGUAAAGCGUCCGCAGGUGGCGAUUCAAGUCUGCUGUCAAAGCACGGGGCUUAACUCCGUUAAGGCAAUGGAAACUGAAUAGCUAGAGUGCCGUAGGGGUAGAGGGAAUUCCCGGUGUAGCGGUGAAAUGCGUAGAGAUCGGGAAGAACAUCGGUGGCGAAAGCGCUCUACUGGACGGCAACUGACACUCAGGGACGAAAGCUAGGGGAGCGAAUGGGAUUAGAUACCCCAGUAGUCCUAGCUGUAAACGAUGGAUACUAGGUGUAGCUUGUAUCGACCCGAGCUGUGCCGAAGCUAACGCGUUAAGUAUCCCGCCUGGGGAGUACGCACGCAAGUGUGAAACUCAAAGGAAUUGACGGGGGCCCGCACAAGCGGUGGAGUAUGUGGUUUAAUUCGAUGCAACGCGAAGAACCUUACC
rnacentral:rRNA from 1 species